rnacentral:rRNA from 1 species
UGGGGAAUUUUGGACAAUGGGCGAAAGCCUGAUCCAGCAAUGCCGCGUGUGUGAAGAAGGCCUUCGGGUUGUAAAGCACUUUUGUCCGGAAAGAAAUCCUUGGCUCUAAUACAGUCGGGGGAUGACGGUACCGGAAGAAUAAGCACCGGCUAACUACGUGCCAGCAGCCGCGGUAAUACGUAGGGUGCAAGCGUUAAUCGGAAUUACUGGGCGUAAAGCGUGCGCAGGCGGUUUGCUAAGACCGAUGUGAAAUCCCCGGGCUCAACCUGGGAACUGCAUUGGUGACUGGCAGGCUAGAGUAUGGCAGAGGGGGGUAGAACUCCACGUGUAGCAGUGAAAUGCGUAGAGAUGUGGAGGAAUACCGAUGGCGAAGGCAGCCCCCUGGGCCAAUACUGACGCUCAUGCACGAAAGCGUGGGGAGCAAACAGGAUUAGAUACCCUGGUAGUCCACGCCCUAAACGAUGUCAACUAGUUGUUGGGGAUUCAUUUCCUUAGUAACGUAGCUAACGCGUGAAGUUGACCGCCUGGGGAGUACGGUCGCAAGAUUAAAACUUAAAUGAAUUG